UACAGAGGGGGCAAGCGUUGUUCGGAAUUACUGGGCGUAAAGGGCGCGUAGGCGGCCUUCUAAGUCGAACGUGAAAUCCCUGGGCUCAACCCCGGGACUGCGUCCGAUACUUCCGGGCUGGAGGUAGGUAGGGGAGAUCGGAAUUCCUGGUGUAGCGGUGAAAUGCGCAGAUAUCAGGAGGAACACCGGUGGCGAAGGCGGAUCUCUGGGCCUUACCUGACGCUGAGGCGCGAAAGCUAGGGGAGCGAACAGG
rnacentral:rRNA from 1 species